rnacentral:lncRNA from 1 species
AUACACAGAACACUGCGAACUGCAUUAGUGCGGUGUGUUCAAUGUACAUUGCCAUUGUGAGAUCAGAAGGUAUUUAUGUACGAAAAAGAAAUAUUAUUGUUAAAUGUUAAAAUUUUGGACGCAGCAAGAAGUGCGCAGAACACUUGCUGCUAACACCACUAACGCUGGAGGCCUGCCGCUGAAAAGACACUUGUACCGUUCGUGUGUGUGUGUUAUCAUUAUUAUUAUUUUUAGGCUCUUGAGCACACAUGAGAACUGUACAGCUGUUCGUGUGUGUAUGUGUGUGUGGCAUUCUUUCUUGUUGUUUUCUCUGCCUUGCAUAAAUUGACAGAAAUUAGCAUGUAUGAAUGAAAGCAGAAACGCUUGUGUUCUUUUUUGCUUGUGAUAGGAAUGAUUUUCUCCUACUGUGUAUUACCAUGCCGCUUCUGACAUUUGUAUUUAGCCGGAUCGGCGAUCUCAGGGCGAUCAUAGCAUGUGUCUGCCUACUUCCGUGCGAAAGAAAGAAAAAAAGAAAAAGUAGAAACAUAAGGACACGAUCGGAAAGGACAUACGUGGCCCCGUCCACAACACUAGAAACAAUGGCGUGACCUUCAGCGGGUUAGACAACUAAAGUACGUCUGUGUAUGCAAAUGCGGCGUUCGUUUCACGAAGAUGAAGUAGUCUCCAUUUAGUUACUCGAAGAGAUACCAUCUUUCUUAAGCCAUUCGAACCAAAAACAGCAGAGCGCAAAAAGGAAAAGAAAGAAUGUAAUACAUCAACACAAGGAAACCGCCAAAGGAGACCCGUGUAUUCUGUCUCGGAGAACAAAAAUUGCUGAACUGGCAAGAAAAGCAUCUGUGGUUUCAACCUGUCAAACAACUUGCUAGGUUCAUAAGAUUGCUUGAUUUUCUACUUAUAAGACAGGCGACUUGCUUAUAUCUUGCAAUUUUUGAACAAAAUAAAUACAUGUUUACGCGCAUGUAAAAGACAUGCUAAAGAAUGAGAUCUGUCAGCCUGGAUGCUUAGACAAUGAGACUUAGCACAUACCACUUGCAUCUGUCUCCUCAGGAGUCUCUCGUAUUUGAAUUCAUCCCUGAGGAGUCGGCGUUAUUAUUUUCCUUUUUUUGGUCAUGUGACAUUGUAACGAUGUAGGAAGCAGAAGCGGCUCUCUUAUUUAAUUUCGCGUUCGUGCGGAAUCAAUCAACGAAUAAUCAAGUAAUAAAUAAAUAAGAUAGGCAAAGCACUCAAUAAGUAAGCAAACGAUGACAAAGAUCGCUAAAAUUAAAGCAAGGCGCAACCUAAGACGAGACGGUUAAAACGCGUAGUUCUUGCAAACUACUUAUCGGUAUAGCCAUUAUCAUCCAUUAUCGUUGUCUGUGCGCUCGGACAGGUAUCUUCUUCCUACGCGAAAGGAAGGUAUUGGGCGCGGGCAAGUUGACGCGUAAUCACAGGCAGUGUUGAAAGGAGACUGGAGCUGAACAAUAAAUCAGGUUAAACCGCUUUACAAAACUUUUCUCGAUCUUCCCUCACAGAAAUUUAUUUGUCAGUGUAUACAAGGUAUGCGGACUGAUUUCAUACAAUCUGUGGGCCUGUCCUUAUUCGUUCCACUAACCUUAGUCUAUCAGUAUGUCUAUAAUUAAGCUGCAGACAAAAUAAACAUCAUACGAGGUAAAGCAACUUAUGUCUAUACAGCCAGUAUACAUACCUCCAAGUGCUUUCUUAGGCAGUAACUAAGGCAAUCUUAGUGUGAAAAUUUGCAACUGAAUGCCAAAAUUUUCUCCUCGAACUUUUAUUAGCGUUCAUACUACGGCAGCCACAACGUCAUUGCGCGACAGCACAGGCUUGGCGACUCGAGACCGUUCCUUCUGAGCUUUCUGAGAAUGACGCUGACGCAGUCUGUGACGUCAUAGGGACGUGCUUUCAGAAUUCGAAUGGGGAUUCACCACCGGCCUUUCGCUUUCUCGACGUCUCCUCGCGUGACGAGCGUCUGCUCUCAGCAACAGAGAACUAUUCGCUGUAUCAGUAUUGUGGCGCCUGUAUAACUGGGCGUCAUGUGUUUAACCUUUUGUGCCCUUCUAAGCGGCAUUCACUACCUCAGAUCGCAUGGAGCAAAGGUCGCGGGCGCGACUGUGCUUACGCGAUUUCAUGGUGCGGCGAAUAAGUAUUGACACCGCAUGUCUCGCGGCGUCAUCCGAGAGCUUGGUCGCUUCGCAAGGUUGCAAAAUGCGGGACGUCUUUGUGUGGCGGGCGGCGUCACUCGCGUGUCUACGAUUGGCAGCAGCGAGCGUGACGUCACACAUCAGGCGCGAGAGUCGAUGAUCCCAGUGUUCCAUUUCGACGGUGGAUGUGUAUACUUACAGUGACACGUAUAGCAGCGCGAAGUACCGCUCUUUCCUCGCAACGCUCCUCAAGUCAAGGCCAGGGCGUGCGGUAUUCUGCUCGCUCCAGUGAACCUCGUUUUGAUUAUGUGUGAUCGCGCUGAACAUGAAAACGAAAAAAAGAAAAAAAGACAUCGUCACCAUGCCCACUCAUCUUCUCCGACGGACAGAGAACUGUCACUCGUCUUCCAAGAGCCAAUGAUGAUCUUGCGGCUAUGUCGCCACCAAACUAUUACUGCAUGCAGUGUUUCUCACAGCUUGCCGAAAUUUCGCAAAACAAUAUCCUGCGAAAAUGUGCACAAGUGUCUAAUUUGCUUGAGUACCACUCUUGCUUAUCUACUUCCGUUUCAAAGAAACCAAAAUGGGCUGAGACGUCGUCUCACAAUCGCAAAUGUUUAGAUGGCCGACGCGUGGUUCACUAGAAAUACCCAUAUUUGGAACCCAUAAAUCCGUACAGUUCUAACCUUUGUACUAUUUAUUCAUAUUGUUUCAUUAUGGUUUGACAGAAAAAGAAUUUCUUUUUCAACGUUCUCACAUUGUGCUGUUCAGUGCAUUGACGGGCAACGAAAGCGGUUUUCAGGCGUACAAAUUUGAAAGUAGAAAAAAAAUGCAAAUGAUGAAACGGGCGCCUAAAGCGUUUGAUCUCAGGCCAGCGAAAGAAAGAGAGAGAGAGAGAGAGAAAGAAAAAGGCAAGUUCAUUAUCUGCUUAUCUGCAGAAAACCGAUAAGAAUAGAAACAAAAAUCUGGCGGAAUGGGUGUUGCAGAAAAGCCCAUUCGUUUUUGCGCCUGUGUAUUAUAGUCAAAGGCAGGCAAGCGAUGGAGCACAUUUCCUCGUAUGCGCGUACAGUCCUUGCCAAAAGUAUCUAGGCCAGAGCGCGAUACCGACAAGAGCUAUCACCCGGGCCAGUAGCAGGCAUCUCGAGGCAAUCUUUGCAUUUCGGAGUGUUCACGUCAGCGGGCUCUGUCUUUCUAAAUCUCCGUGGCCUUGAAUAAUGCCUGUUCAGUCCAGUAGCUCAGGGACCGCAUUUUGAUGCUGGUAGAAUGCAAAGAGGCGUCAGUGCAGAUUUCAGUCUGUUAUCAGGAAGCCUAGAUGGAUAAAAUUAUCCCCAAACCCUAGGUUUCGGCCUAUCUCAAGCCCCGGUUACAGUUUUGGGAAGCGAAACCCGAUCAAUUUUCAUGUGCAACUUUUAAGGAACGGCAGGCUGCACAGCGACACGGCGCAGUGAGAGCUCCGGCGGCUCGCACGGUGGCCUCGAAACUUUUGGCACGAUCUGAGCGAAGAACAUACGGCGUUGGCUCGCGUCCUCGCUUUGCAUGCCCAUGUUGUAAGAUAUAUGCCUCCAUCGUUUUUCAUCCACUGUGUGUUUCGGUGUCACGAUCGUUGUCAUGCGUGUGUGUUUGUGUGUGCUCGCAAAAGUCAAGCUGCGCCCAUGUGCCGGUGCGUGUGUUUCGCGCACCUGUGCGAAAUCGGGUUGUCGAGCCUCGGGCGGCGGACCACCGUGUGUGUACGUCACAGCCGUCGACCGCGCCUUGGGACCACAAACAGAGCGGACGUACUUCGACGCACCAGUCAUGCCUCGAGAGAAGAAAGCAAGAGGAGAGAGACACUGCGCGCGCUUGGUCACGUGAUAGACCGCUCGGCCGUGCGCAUCUACACGCAUGCGCAGAAGCGGGACAACAUUAUCUGUGUGUGUCUGUGUGUGUCUGUGCCUACCAGUGGAAGAAACAGCUGUUGUCGUGAACGGCGCGCAGGCAACGACGGAUGACUGUGAGUGACCGGGUCGUGAAUUGACGUGAACUGACGAAGUGUAUAGAGGACGCUGUACAUGAACAUGCAUGCUUGUGCGCUCUAUGCGGACGUGUCUGUGUACGUGAUAUGUGCGUGUGCGCGUGUGUCUGUGUACAUUUUGAGCUCUCUAUUUUAUUACGGCGUCGAGAACACCUCUUCUAUCUACAUCUUCUCCCUGGCCCGAAGCCUUUCACCCUCCGGUCGACAUCCCGCCGAGAAGAAAAAUCCCACGUGAUAGAGCAUGCAAUGCACUCGUCGUCUAUUUUUGCAAUGAACUUGGACAAAACCGUAGGACGUGAAAGUGAAUGCAGCAUUAAAUGAGAGAAAGAGAAAAAAAAGACGAGUUGCGAAAACCAAA